rnacentral:rRNA from 1 species
CAAUCUGCCUUGGAGUGGGGAAUAACGGCUGGAAACAGCCGCUAAUACCGCAUGAUACAGCUGGGAGGCAUCUCCCUGGCUGUCAAAGAUUUAUCGCUCUGAGAUGAGCUCGCGUCUGAUUAGCUAGUUGGCGGGGUAACGGCCCACCAAGGCGACGAUCAGUAGCCGGACUGAGAGGUUGGCCGGCCACAUUGGGACUGAGACACGGCCCAAACUCCUACGGAAGGCAGCAG